UUAAGAGGCUGCAUCCCCCAGGAUGUGCUGACGGCACCCGUUUGCACCCGCCCCCUGCGCGUCUAGAGCGGGCACCCCAUGCGGAGGAGAUCCUGGCUGUUCCCAAGUCUCGCCUGCCUGUCGGGAGCCUGCGCGGCCCGGGCAGCAGAUCCCAACCUUUUUUCAGAUUAGGUAAUUCAUACUGUUCAUUUCUGAAACUGAAGUAAUGCACAGCUUCAGUUCUGUGCAGGGAGGAUACAGUAGGAGAGAAUAUCUUUCUGGAGAAUCACUUUUACUACAAGAUUUGUAAAAAACAAAUUUAUUUCCAAGGUAAGAAAUUAAAACUCUAAAGCAAGGCUAGAAAGUCUUCUGCCUCUAAUAACACUUAGUCAUCUCUGCCUCAGAUAUGAAAUUUUCUCCAAGAUAAAAACUCUCAUCAAAGAUAAUCUAUUUUCCAUUAUAAAUAGUAAACAUUCUUCAUUAUAAAUAGUAAAAAUUAGAAAUCAUAGAAAUCCAAUCAAAAGCCCUGUCCUGCCAGUUUUUAAAAUCUCAAUAUGGCCUGUUAUGGUUUUACUUGGAUUUUCUUUUUGGAAUUUGUUGACUGCUUGGAUAUAAAAAUUGGGGUUUUAACCAAUUUUUGCAAGUUUUCAGCUAUUAGUUGUUACUUUUGUACUCAUUUAAUUUUUCUGUCUCUUUACUCUCUUUCUAUGACACAAUCUUCCCACAGAUUAAGACUCUGUUUAUUUUCUUCAAACUGUUUAAAACUUUUUUUUUAGAUUGAAUAAUUUCUGUUGUUUUGUCUUUUUCUAAUCUAUGAAUUAACCUAAAAGUACUAUUUAAAAAUAUCAUUAUCUCUCUAUUUGGUUCUUUUUAAUAAUGUACAUUUCUCUGCUGAGAUUCCACAUGUAUUCAUUCAUUAUGAGAAUGUUUUUUCUUCACCCCAUUUAAUAGCUGCUUUCAAAUACUUGACUGCUGAUAACAACAUCUUGGACAUUUUGGGGAUAGCUUCUAAUGCCUAUGUUUUAUCUUGUGUAUGGAUUACAUGUUUGUGUUUCUUCACAUGUUUCUUAAAUUUUAAACUUUUAUUUUAAAAACUAUAAAUAAUACAGAGA